ensembl:lncRNA
ACUUUGCAUUUAAUACCUGGUAAGCAUUUCAUAAUCUUAUUUACCGUUCAUAAAAGGUCCUUUUGAAGCUGCUGGGGAACUUGAUGGCUGCCAUCGUGAUGGUCUCGCAGUAAUCAAAUCAGUUAGAGGAUCCUCGAGGCUGCAGUCAUUCUUCGUUUUCAAGAGGAAUCAUUUCAGCUGAAGAAGGGUCACAGGGACCCUGGAGCCUAUCCCAGGGAGCAUCGGGGACAAGGCGGGGUACACCCUGGACAGGGUGCCAGUCCAUCACAGGGCACAAUCACAUACACACUCACACACCCAUUCAUACACUACGGACACUUUAGACACGCCAAUCAGCCUACCAUGCAUGUCUUUGGACUGGGGGAGGAAACCGGAGUACCAGGAGGAAACCCCGGCAGCACGGGGAGAACAUGCACACUCCGCACACACAAAGCCACGGGAAUCGAACCCCCGACCCUGGAGACAGCUAUAAAGAGGGCAGGAGGAAAGCCAAAGAGGGCAGGAC